rnacentral:piRNA from 1 species
UGGGAGUUUCGUGAUCACAGGGUGUUGAGC